ACUAAUUGUUUUUCAUAGCUCUUAUAAAUGUAUAUUAAAUGAAAAAUAUACAAAAAAAAUUAUUUAAGUAUUACAAUAAAGUAGAUACUGUACUACUGAAGAACCUUGAAAUCCGACCUAAUUUGGACCGCGCCUAUUUCGGAUACUGGGAAUUGGAAGUUUACCAAUUCCGUUCAAAAUUACUUUCAUAUAUCAUUUACGCUCAGUAAUUUUCUGGGUCGAUAUACCAAUUGAGGGGUUUCAAUUUAAAACGUACUUUUCCUAUUUUUGACAAAACCUAGUUAGAUAUUGAUUCUAUUAAAAAUAGCGGGAAAUCAAAUGUUGAGGCUGAUUUUUGGCUAACCUUACUUAUUCCCUAAAAAUAUUCGAUCGAAAAUCGCGUUUUUUGCAAAACAUUCAUUUCUAAGUGUACCGUGUACGUACACGGAUAUUAUUGUCGUCUCUGUCCUACAAGUGCAAAACAUCCCAGAUCUACACUCAAUAGAUCACGUUUAACUCAGUUUAAAAAUUAGAGUGAAUCGACCUACUAUGAAAAUUGACGGUGAGAACAUUAUUUGUGUUUUGUUGAAUGUUUUUUUACAACACUUCAAUUUUUAAGUGAGUUAAGAGCAUUUUUAAUUUACAUUUAUUACACACGCUAUAACUUACUUAAAAAUUGAAAGAUAGUGAAAAAACUUCUAACAAAACAGAGAUAAUGUUCUUACCAUCAAAUUUCGAUUCACUCUAAUUUUUAAGCUAACGGCAUAAUUGCAUAAAACUUGAAUUUCUGAGCGUAAAUUAGGUACGUUACGCGUUUGUAAGACGGAGAAGACACAUGCGGGUGUGACGUCCUCUUAAACAGGAAGACUUAGAUCGUUAAUUUCUUGUAGUUUUGUUUUUUUUAUAAUACCACCAUGUACUAUGGACGUAAAUAGGGGCAGCCUUGGUGGAGAGCUAUAUAUACCUACUUGGUAUUAAUUUUUUGUAUCGUGUGUUUGCCACAAACAUAAUAUAAACAAGUUAUUCAUAUUCAUUAUUAUUAUAAAUAGUAGAUAUGCUGGCUCAAUAGUGUCUACCUAUGCUGCCUAGUUAUUAAUUUUCUUAUUAAUGUUAUUACCGAGAUUUAUAGCCGCACGCACAUCAACAAUGAAUGAAAUUAUUAAGUACUAACGAAGGAUUAUAAUAUCUCUCAGGCCACAAAUCUGAAGACUGAAAUAUUUUUUAUGCACUUACAAUGUUUCAAUAUCCGUCAAGCUUUAUAGAAAAGUUAUUAAAUCCAAGUGACGAUAAGGAAUUAUUUUUAUAUAAGUUAUAAGACCGUAAAAACAUUUUUAUGAAUGAGUAUCACGACAUUUAAAACAGGUUGAAUAAAGAGGCCCUAUAGAAAUAGUGAGUGGUAGGAGACUUAGAAACAGGUAAUACUUUGAUAAUCUCUUAUUAUAAUAUAACAUAAACAUGAUGAAUAUAAUAAUAGUAAUCAUAAUAAUAUAUUACAUAGUUAUAGUUAUAAUAUAAGGACAGUGUUGAAUUUUAAAUAAAUGCCUUUCCAGACACUAAAAUUCAAUGCUAUAGUAAGCCGAAAAUGUGCGAAUGCCGUGUUGCGACAAAAUUAAAAAUUUGAAAUUAAAACAAUAAAACCUAUUCAAAGUUAAAUUCGAUAUUUGUUUAUUUAUAUUUAAAUAUGUUUUUUCGAUGUAUAAAUAACGAAAAAUGUUAUACAAGAGUAGUGCAGUUUUCGCUGUACCUACCGAUCUAUGUAAAUUACCUACAAUAUAAUUACAGUAGUCGACCGGCGUUCGCGUGUUCUCGCUUGCGAUGUGGAUUAGGCCUACCGGGGACACCACAAUAAAAAAAACGCGCC